UACAGAGACUGCAAGCGUUAUUCGGAUUCACUGGGCGUAAGGGCGCGUAGGCGGCCUGAUAAGUAGGGGGUGAAAUCCUGCGGCUUAACCGCAGGGCUGCCUUCUAAACUGUCAGGCUAGAGCACAGUAGAGGCAGGUGGAAUUCCCGGUGUAGCGGUGGAAUGCGUAGAGAUCGGGAAGAACAUCAGUGGCGAAGGCGGCCUGCUGGGCUGUUGCUGACGCUGAGGCGCGACAGCGUGGGGAGCAAACAGG
rnacentral:rRNA from 1 species